rnacentral:rRNA from 1 species
UGCGUAGGCGGCUUUAUAAGUCAGAUGUGAAAGUCAUAUGCUUAACAUAGGAAUUGCAUUUGAUACUGUAGAGCUUGAAUCGGGCUGAGGUAAGCGGAAUGUGGCAAGUAGCGGUGAAAUGCAUAGAUAUGCCAUAGAACACCAAUUGCGAAGGCAGCUUACUAGACCUAGAUUGACGCUGAGGCACGAAAGCGUGGGGAGCGAACAGGAUUAGAUACCCUGGUAGUCC